GUGGGGAAUAUUGGACAAUGGGCGAAAGCCUGAUCCAGCCAUGCCGCGUGUGUGAAGAAGGUCUUCGGAUUGUAAAGCACUUUAAGUUGGGAGGAAGGGCAGUAAGCUAAUACCUUGCUGUUUUGACGUUACCGACAGAAUAAGCACCGGCUAACUUCGUGCCAGCAGCCGCGGUAAUACGAAGGGUGCAAGCGUUAAUCGGAAUUACUGGGCGUAAAGCGCGCGUAGGUGGUUUUGUAAGUUGGAGGUGAAAUCCCCGGGCUCAACCUGGGAACUGCCUCCAAAACUGCAUGACUAGAGUACGGUAGAGGGUAGUGGAAUUUCCUGUGUAGCGGUGAAAUGCGUAGAUAUAGGAAGGAACACCAGUGGCGAAGGCGACUACCUGGACUGAUACUGACACUGAGGUGCGAAAGCGUGGGGAGCAAACAGGAUUAGAAACCCUGGUAGUCC
rnacentral:rRNA from 1 species